rnacentral:rRNA from 1 species
AGAGUUUGAUCAUGGCUCAGGACGAACGCUGGCGGCGUGCCUAACACAUGCAAGUCGAACGGGGAUUUUGUUUCGGCAGAAUCCUAGUGGCGAACGGGUGAGUAACGCGUAGGCAACCUGCCCUCCGGCCGGGGACAACACUCCGAAAGGGGUGCUAAUACCGGAUACGAAGUCUGUGCCGCAUGGUACGGAUUUGAAAGAUGGCCUCUAUUUAUAAGCUAUCGCCGGGGGAUGGGCCUGCGUCCGAUUAGCUGGUUGGUGGGGUAACGGCCUACCAAGGCGACGAUCGGUAGCCGGUCUGAGAGGAUGAACGGCCACAUUGGGACUGAGACACGGCCCAGACUCCUACGGGAGGCAGCAGUGGGGAAUCUUCCGCAAUGGGCGCAAGCCUGACGGAGCAACGCCGCGUGAGUGAGGAAGUUCUUCGGAACGUAAAGCUCUGUUGUUCCUGACGAACCUCCCCUCUAUCAACAACGGAGGGGACUGACGGUAGGGAACGAGGAAGCCACGGCUAACUACGUGCCAGCAGCCGCGGUAAUACGUAGGUGGCAAGCGUUGUCCGGAAUUAUUGGGCGUAAAGCGCAUGUAGGCGGUAAUUUAAGUCUGUCGUGAAACUGCGGGGCUCAGCCCCGUAUGGCGAUGGAAACUGGGUUACUUGAGUGCAGGAGAGGAAAGGGGAACUCCCAGUGUAGCGGUGAAAUGCGUAGAUAUUGGGAAGAACACCGGUGGCGAAGGCGCCUUUCUGGACUGUGUCUGACGCUGAGAUGCGAAAGCCAGGGUAGCGAACGGGAUUAGAUACCCCGGUAGUCCUGGCCGUAAACGAUGGGUACUAGGUGUGGGAGGUAUCGACCCCUUCCGUGCCGGAGUUAACGCAAUAAGUACCCCGCCUGGGGAGUACGGCCGCAAGGCUUAAACUCAAAGGAAUUGACGGGGGCCCGCACAAGCGGUGGAGUAUGUGGUUUAAUUCGAAGCAACGCGAAGAACCUUACCAGGGCUUGACAUCCUGCUGACUGGCCUGAUAACGAAGGCCUUCUCUUCGGAGCAGCAGAGACAGGUGGUGCAUGGUUGUCGUCAGCUCGUGUCGUGAGAUGUUGGGUCAAGUCCCGCAACGAGCGCAACCCUUGCUACUAGUUGCCAUCAUUAAGUUGGGCACUCUAGUGGGACUGCCGGGGAUAACCCGGAGGAAGGUGGGGAUGACGUCAAAUCAUCAUGCCCCUUAUGAUUUGGGCUACACACGUGCUACAAUGGCGUCAACAAAGGGAAGCGAUCACGUGAGUGUGAGCAAAUCUCAAAAAUGACGUCCCAGUUCGGACUGCAGUCUGCAACUCGACUGCACGAAGCCGGAAUCGCUAGUAAUCGCGGAUCAGCAUGCCGCGGUGAAUACGUUCCCGGGUCUUGUACACACCGCCCGUCACACCAUGGGAGUCGGUAACGCCCGAAGUCAGUGACCUAACCGCAAGGAGGGAGCUGCCGAAGGCGGGACUGAUGACUGGGGUGAAGUCGUAACAAGGUAACCGUA